CUACGGGUCGCUGCAGUGGGGAAUAUUGCACAAUGGGCGCAAGCCUGAUGCAGCCAUGCCGCGUGUAUGAAGAAGGCCGUCGGGUUGUAAAGUACUUUCAGCGGGGAGGAAGGGAGUAAAGUUAAUACCUUUGCUCAUUGACGUUACCCGCAGAAGAAGCACCGGCUAAGUCCGUGCCAGCAGCCGCGGUAAUACGGAGGGUGCAAGCGUUAAUCGGAAUUACUGGGCGUAAAGCGCACGCAGGCGGUUUGUUAAGUCAGAUGUGAAAUCCCCGGGCUCAACCUGGGAACUGCAUCUGAUACUGGCAAGCUUGAGUCUCGUAGAGGGGGGUAGAAUUCCAGGUGUAGCGGUGAAAUGCGUAGAGAUCUGGAGGAAUACCGGUGGCGAAGGCGGCCCCCUGGACGAAGACUGACGCUCAGGUGCGAAAGCGUGGGGGGCAAACAGGAUUAGAUACCCCGGUAGUC
rnacentral:rRNA from 1 species